rnacentral:rRNA from 1 species
GGUCGAGCGUUUGGAUUAAGAGCUUGCUCUUAUGAAGUUAGCGGCGGACGGGUGAGUAACACGUGGGUAACCUGCCCAUAAGACUGGGAUAACUCCGGGAAACCGGGGCUAAUACCGGAUAACAUUUUGAACUGCAUGGUUCGAAAUUGAAAGGCGGCUUCGGCUGUCACUUAUGGAUGGACCCGCGUCGCAUUAGCUAGUUGGUGAGGUAACGGCUCACCAAGGCAACGAUGCGUAGCCGACCUGAGAGGGUGAUCGGCCACACUGGGACUGAGACACGGCCCAGACUCCUACGGGAGGCAGCAGUAGGGAAUCUUCCGCAAUGGACGAAAGUCUGACGGAGCAACGCCGCGUGAGUGAUGAAGGCUUUCGGGUCGUAAAACUCUGUUGUUAGGGAA